rnacentral:rRNA from 1 species
UAUCUCUGUAGAGUCUGCAUAUCAAUAAGCGGAGGAAAAGAAACUAACAUAGGAUUCCCUCAGUAACGGCGAGUGAAGCGGGAAGAGCUCAAAUUUGAAAUCUUCAAGGUUCUACCUUGACGAAUUGUAGUUUAAAGAAGUGUUUUCUGUUAGAUUUGAGUAGCAAAGUUCCUUGGAAUAGGACAUCAUAGAGGGUGAGAAUCCCGUAUUUGACUAUUAUUUCCAGCUUUGUGAUACACUUUCAAAGAGUCGGAUUGUUUGGGAAUGCAGUCCAAAAUGGGUGGUAAACUUCAUCUAAAGCUAAAUAUUGGCGAGAGACCGAUAGCGAACAAGUACCGUGAGGGAAAGAUGAAAAGAACUUUGAAAAGAGAGUUAAACAGUACGUGAAAUUGUCAAAAGGGAAGCGUUUGACACCAGUGUUGUUUUCUCGAAAAUCAAUUAAAAAAUGGCUGAUUUUGUGUUGUAUUGACCUUUAUCAAGCUUUCUUCACUCUUUUCAUUGUCUUUUUUAAUGCACUUUUCGUUUAACAAGUCAACAUCAGUUUCUUUUGUUGUAAAAGGGUCAUUGGAAGGUGGCUUUCUUUUCGGAGAAAGUGUUUAUAGCCUUUGCCUCUGCAAUCGGAGAGAUUGAGGUCUGCAGCGUAGAUCCUUCUGGAUUAGAUACAUUUGUGCUAAGUUAUAACCGUUUCAUAGACAACUUGUUGACUAUAUCGAUCAUGUAGCUUACUCGCUUAUGCUAUUUUACCUACGCUUAGGAUGUUGAAGAUGUAGCACAUCAU